AUUUUAUACAGAAAAUAAACCAUACUUGGAACAGUUAUCUUCGUUACUCGCGUAAUUCUAAUUGUCGUUUCGUUACGUAGACUAGAAUAAACAUGACCUAAAAAUACGUUCAUACUGGUUACCUGUAACAGUUUAACACCACUGACGUUCUACAUAAAAUAUGCCGUCUCUCCCCCCCUACCGACAUUGAAUUUUUCUUCCGAAAUUAGCUAGCCAAUAUUUUAUUAAACUUACGCGAAAAAAAAAGAUGAUUAUUACCAUCGAUUAAUCAUCCGGCCGCGAAUUAUUUUAGCGACAAAACCUGAACACACCAAGCGUUACGUCUCUUUUUUUGAUACCCUUUAGGAUAAUCCAGUUUGCAUCAUUUUCGAGAAUUUAUUUUAUUUAUUUUUUUAAGAUAUUCGCGUCACGCCUCUCGUUCGUCUUUGUUCUUUUUUUAAUGAAGUUUUUAGACAUCAAACAUGCAUAAAUUCGUACUCCGCACACCAGUUAUUCAACUUUUAAACUUAAAUCGGGUCAAGUAUCACCCACCGUCGUUACAGACCUAUCGCCACGAUCGAAUGGUAAUCAGCGAUCGCCUUCUAUUAUUCAGUUUUUAAAUAAGAAAACAAGGUCGUACUGUUAAGUUCGACGUGUUUUUUUAUGUACGGUGAUGAACAGCUGUUUUCCAGUAUCAGUUCUGUGACACCUACUUCGUCGUCUUUGGGGGAUGGCGCGGUAAAACUGACCUAUUUGAUCGAGAGAGUUAGAGACGACCGGAACCCACGCUGGUUAAACUGGUGAAGUUUACCUUGAAGUAAAGAGAUAGGUCAAAAGUGUAUGACGAUAAAAAAAAAAAAUGGCAAUGUGCCUAAAAACGUGUGUUCACCAGUAUAAACGAUAAAAGACGAAUCGAGAAUGAAUAAAAUCGUUUCGAUAAAGUUCGAUUACGUAACGGAAAUUGGUUGGAAGACGCUAAUGUCAAAAAGUUCGCGCUGGAUCGGGCCCGAAGUCAGGAAAUUCCAGUUGAUAACCAGUGGUAUGUGCACGAAGUAGAGGUGGUUUCUGCGCGCAUCCAGCCCCGUGAAGAUAAAAAAGAAAUCCAAAAUGUGUAAGAAACAAGAAAUUUUUUUCUUUAUAAAAGAUACGAGAGAUGUUUGGCAAGAAACAUCGACUUUUUGUGAUAGGUUGGUUUUACAGACGUUAAGUUAACAAAUGAUCGAUUCCCAAAAAUUCGAAGCGUUAUUUUAAAGGCUGGUUAUAACCAGGUAAAAGUCGAUAAUGUUUAUUUUAUCAUCUAUUUUUACAUAUUCGAUUUUGAAAUUAAAUGUUGUGUUAAAAAUUAACGAAUGACAGCGUCGGAUAAAAAUAUGGAAGGAGUUGGGGAGUGGCGUGUAGAAAAAAUGACUUCGAUCAAAACACAUUGAUAAAUAUCGGAAGCGGAUCAUAUUUGUGUUUGGUGGUCGGGUGAGGUAGUUAAUGGUCUCUGACCGAAAGUAAACAAAAGAGUUCCUUCCCCCUAUCGAACGGAUGAAUAUCAUCGGAAAACGUUUGUACCGCUAUAGAAAACUAAGAAGUUCUUUGCUAUAGAAACUAAGAAGUUUUGUUCAAAUAAUAAGUUUAAGUAAAAAUUUCCGUGUAUUUUAUUUUUCUCUUUAUAUAAAAUACGCGCUUAAUAUAGCGAAAGUAUUUAUUAUUUUAGUAUACUAUAAAUAUAUCUAUAAAGAUUUACUUAAGGCGUAUCUAGCGAAGGAUGAAUGCAUCGAAUGCCAAAUUCUCGACAGAUAGCCUAGAGGUUCUCGAUAUAGAUCACUGACGAUUUAAUGCGGACAUUCGGGAUUCUUUUCCGAUAAACAAUAACUAAUGGUUUUUCCUUCCUCGUUAUUAAGUAAAUGCCGUGUCUUGUUAAAAUAUAAAGAGAAAAAACAAAGCCAAAAAACAAAACUGAGUUCUAUAUAGAACUUAAACAGUUUUGUAUUUUUGUAAACGUUUGGAUAAGCGGUAUUGUGUUUGGAUUGAAAAAAAUAUGGCUGAAAUUUUGUUCGAGUAAAUUGAUGCCAACAUAUUAUAAGACGAAAGUGAUCAUUUUUUGCCUCCGAUUUAAUCCGCCAUCUUUGAACAAGAUGGAGGACAAAAAUAAAAAUGUCGAGAUCCCAUUACAGCCUUCUCAUAAAUCUACACUUCUUAUAAAUUUGGUUUGGUUUGGAAUGUAAACAAAAUAUUUAGAAUGUUAGAAACGUGCACCUACACGGUUAUCACAUUAACCUACUUUCUUUUCCAGAAUAGGCUACUAAGUAUAAUUAUUUUGAUUUCGAAAAUCUUUGUUUCUGUUUCGAAAAUUCGGUAUGUGUACCGCGAUUAUUAUAAAAUUAUUUAUAUACUUAUCACAAUAGCAUCGUUUUUAUUUUUAUUUUUUUGUGUGUCAACUAAAAGCGUAAACGUGUCGUUACCUGAAAGACGAAUUUCACCUUUGUCGAUGACCAAUAACUAAUACUUUCGCCGCUAUAUGUCAUGGCUGGCCAUCCAAACGAAGGAACAAUCGAAAUCGUCGACGAAGCGCGCUUUAUUUAGUGAAGAAGCGCUAUUACCAGCCGUUGGCCAUUACAUCGACCUCGAUCGUCGAUGUCGUGCCAUUUGGGAUACCCUUGACCCGUGACUCGGGUUGCGCGUCCAGGUAUGCACCCUCACUUCGCACUCGGCAUUCCUAGUGGCAUUCGUUUGGCGCGCGUCAGCUGUUGGUCUCGUCAAGGUCGCUUUAUAGGGGAAAGAGCCGCGUGACGUCACGGCCAUUCCAUCGACAUUAGAAAUAAAGGCUUUAGUUAUGUAUUUUAAUUGCGUAAAUUCCAAGUAUUUGCCACAUAAAUCCAAAAAAUCUUUUAUUUUCUUUUUCGAGAGUGAGCCGAUUACACCCAAAAUACCUUCGCAGCUAGACUAGCGGUAAUUGGAUUUUUCUGACCGUGUUGUGUGUAGAUAGGGUGCUUAUGGGAUUCCAAUCAGUAGCUAGUCAGCCUGGUAGGAGGUAUAGUCAACGAACUUUACUUAAUCUUAUAUAAAUAGCGGUCGUGUCUUAUUACCUAACUCGGCGUUAAGAGAAAAUUUAAUAAUCUUAAAAAAAAAUCACGAAAACAACCUUCAUUUUUUUAAGAUUCGAUAAACAGACCUAGUAUAUAUAAAGCGCUUAAAAAAAUCACAGUAGUAGUUUCACCAGCGAGUUGGAUCCAAAUAUCCACGUUACGCCCCUGUAACGAUACUCGCAUACCAAAGAAGACACCCCCAGGCAUAACAGAUACAACAUAAACAUUCUUUCGUCCCAAGGCCAGGCAGAGUUUGGUUCAUCUUAACGACUAUCCGUAGCUCCACGCCAUUCUUUAUAUAUAGGCUAUAUAAUAUAUAUUGUACGUCGUCUGUAUUCGAGACAAUAAAGAAUAUAUUUCAGUUUACGUUUUAGCUUCUAAGAAGACCAUUUGUUCUGUAAGGGAAGCUUUCAUCCAACACAUUUCUUUCAACUUUAUUAACUUUUUUUUUGCUUAGCCAUUUUUCAAAAAAGACAAUUAGCCGUAUUAACCUUGAAAGAGAUAGUUACAGUCACAGAUUUAAAAAAAAAUCUUUCCUAGAAACACACCAAGAAGUGGAGUUUCAUAAUACGAUGAUGUCAUCCGUCGCCAGUGGUAUGUGUAAAGGGCGUUUGGGUUUCGAAACACUCCGGAAAUGGGCUAAAAAUUAUACCAUCGAUUCGUUUUUUUAUCUAUUUCGAUAGAGCGUGAAGAACAGACGAGCGUGUAAGAGGUUUAACAAGUAUUUACUUAGAAAACUUUCCGUGUAGUUUGUCUCGAGUUUUCCUUAGCGUGCAAAUAUGUCGGCCGAGUAUCACGUAUUGACAAUUGAUUAAUGUACGAAGCGCUCAAGGUCCGCGUUGUUUAUGUCCCUUCUCGAUGCCGGGCUCCACCCGCCAAAUUACACUACUCUUUCGCGUUGUUUAGAUUUUAAUUUGUAUCUUUCUUUAUUAACCAACCACCAAAUUAUAAUAUACUAGGCAUCAAAAGACGUAUUUGGCAAUAUUGUAUAUUAAUGUGUCAGCUUACGGGUAAAAGCGCGAAGAAAACAUUAGUAAUUUUGUCGCUAUGAAGAGUAGUCAUUUCGUCGAUCGAUAUAAAUAAUAUACCAAGGGAAUGAAGAAGAACUUUUUAAUUUUCUAUAUUUGGAGUUCAAAAUGCAAAAAUAAGAAUUUCUGUAGCCUCAAAGAAAUAGGUCACGGUGUAAUCCGGAGAGAUUAUGUCGCGCUUUUCCGGAUGCGUAAUAGAUUAGCGUUCAAUUUUGGACCGAAAUGGGAUAAUCGCUAAUUUCGGGGUGGUCACUUUUCACGCAAAUUGCGAAAUAACGCUCGGUUCGGUUAUUUACUUGAUUUAUUUUAAGGUUUUUUUGACCGUAAAAAUGGAAACAAAUCUUCCGGUGCGAAAUAAAACUUCUAUUAUUUAAACGAAACCAUACCGCCUAAUACCCGCAUUUAUUCCAUUUUUCGUUAUUCGAUAUUUAAUGGUAUGAAAGAAUGAAUAAGGCAAUUAAAAAUGUAAGGGUUUAUGUUCUGUCGGUCAUGACAAACCCAAGUUUUGUUUUUCAAAUACAAUACGCUUAUUAUUCUUUCUGUACUUACUCGUUUUGAAAUACAUAUUUUAGAUAUUAAGAUUUCUUUUCCUUUAAAUAUUUCUCUAAAAUGUAGCGAU
rnacentral:lncRNA from 1 species